AAAUUGAAGAGUUUGAUCAUGGCUCAGAUUGAACGCUGGCGGCAGGCCUAACACAUGCAAGUCGAACGGUAAUAGGAAGCAGCUUGCUGCUUCGCUGACGAGUGGCGGACGGGUGAGUAAUGUCUGGGAAACUGCCUGAUGGAGGGGGAUAACUACUGGAAACGGUGGCUAAUACCGCAUAACGUCGCAAGACCAAAGAGGGGGACCUUCGGGCCUCUUGCCAUCAGAUGUGCCCAGAUGGGAUUAGCUUGUUGGUGAGGUAACGGCUCACCAAGGCGACGAUCCCUAGCUGGUCUGAGAGGAUGACCAGCCACACUGGAACUGAGACACGGUCCAGACUCCUACGGGAGGCAGCAGUGGGGAAUAUUGCACAAUGGGCGCAAGCCUGAUGCAGCCAUGCCGCGUGUAUGAAGAAGGCCUU
rnacentral:rRNA from 1 species